CAGACUCAACGGGAACAUUUGAAAAGGUUUAUUUCAGAAUCCACCUGUCAGGGAGGAGGUGGAACCUCCCAUGAUGCCGCUGGCUCAGGAGGAAGCGCCCUGAAAGAGGAGGAGGCAGACGGAGAGUCAGCAUCUACUGGAGGAAUCAACUAUUCUAAAAAGUGAUUCACUUGUUUAAAUCACUUCUUUUACUGCAUAGUGGAUGGACCUGGGAGAAUGU